rnacentral:lncRNA from 1 species
AGGAACACGGUGGAUGCAACGCAAAGGGGACAGGCGAGACAAGCCUGUCAACUUCAUCUUUAGGGUUUCCAACGGAUUUUCUAUGUCAUGAGUAGAAGCAGUUACAUCACUUCCUCCCAUUUCCACCCUACAUGUAUGUUUUCACAAAGUUAAACUCGAUCACUAGUUUUUAAAUAGGAUUAAUUUUAGUUUACACCCCUAAGUUUUAGGGUUAACAUCAUUUCACUCUCCAUGUUUUUAAUUUAAAAAAUUUACCCCCUAAAAUUUUCAAUUUUCAUAAAUCAUGUCUAAUUAUUGAAAUUUCGUCUAAUUCAGAUAUAAAUUUUGACUUCAUAACUCACUAAAAGGGCUAAAAUAGUCUUAUAACAACAUAAAUCGUCUUUUAGAAUUUUUUUUUCUUCUAAGAUUUCAUGUCAUCAUUUAACCUUUAAAUUAGACGAAAUUUUAAUACCUGUGUCUGAUUUAUGAAAAUUGGAGACUUUAGACAGUAAAUUUUUAAAAUUAAAAGUAUGGGGAGUGAAACGAUGUUAAUCUCAAACCUUAAGGGGGUAAACUAAAAUUAAUCCUUACAAAUAUGUAUUUCAAUAGUUUCAAAAAAUUUAAACUACUAAAACGCACAAAGUUAUUGAACUUAUUGUGUUUUGGUAUAAAACAAUCAACACUUCAUGCAUUACAUACAUGAUACACGUACAACGUCUCUCUCAAAAAUUCAGAAUUUUGUUUUGGGUUUUCUCUCGAAGAUUCUUUUAUGCACCAGCUGAUAGUCAUUAUGCAAUUUCAGCCAUUCAUUUUAUCUAAAUGUCUAUAUGGCACAAACUUCAAUGUUAACACCGUAAAGAACUGAAAAGAAAAAAAAAUCUAGUUAACAUGGUAAAAAAGCAAAAGUAAAUAUCAUUUCAUUAAUUAAACAAGAUGGGUAAAAGAGGAAAAAUUUUCUGAAAUUAGGAUUGCUUUUCUGGCAUCGAGGUCUUUGAGGUUCAAUCAGAUCUCCGACCAUUUGCCAAAAGAAAAAAAAUCAGAUCUCAAACCAAGAAAAAGAGAGGUUCAAUCAGAUCGAAGAGGAGGGAAUUGGGGUCUCCGCGGCUCCUCCGCCGGCGCCGGGCAAGCAUUGAAGUCAGAAACGAAAGGUCCAGCCCUUUCUCUAUAUCCGACUUUUGUCAAGAUGAGUUGCGGCAGCCAUGGGGUCCUGAUGUGAAUCUAUUAGUGGAUUUAGAGAAUCAAUGGAAGCAAUUGGAAGCAACUGAUGCAAUUUUGAAUGAUUUGUCAAGAAUCGUGGAUCUAGGGUUUGGGUUUCCUAUCCAUUCUUGAUGUUCGUAAUCUUCGUGCGGUCGAUCUCGGCCUUGAUGAUGAGGGCUACGGCGGAGGAGACGAAGAAGAAGUUGACCAUCCAGACCUUGGCGGGCUCUUUGGACGACGGAGGAUGGAGAGGCUGGGUUUUGGGGAUCGGACGGGGAGGUGGGCAGAGCCAGUUCGAUUUCUUUACUGCAGUCCUGGGUUUUUACUGCAAUUUGAUUUUUUUGUACUAAGAUUUCGAACAAACAAAAAAACAUCGUAGUAAAAUACCAAAUAAUGUCUUAAAAUAUAGAAUUUGAACAAAGAUAAUCCAUGAUCAAGUCAGUGAUCAAGCGUACGCACCUUGUGUGUAAUGAAGAAGCCAAGAGCUGGGAACUCGAUCGAUUGCUUAAGAUAUACUACUAUUUUACUCGUGCUCUUGGAGUUGGCAGAUGAAAGAGUACUGUUUUUCUUAGUAAUAGAAGCACUAGGUACCAGGUACCAACCUCAUCAGGGGCUAUACAUAUAUAUAACCUACAAGCACUAACAACUUAUAAUAGAAGCAUUAAAUAGGAAAACUGUUGGAGAUGUUCUAAGUCUUCGUCUUCGUUCUAAGUCUUCGUCUUCGUUUAAUGUGGGGACUCAACUUGAUGGAUUGGGUUUUAGUAGCACAUGGUUACACACUUAUUAUAGUAGGGACUACUUUUUUUGGAAGAACAUAUUAGGGACUAGUUCAGAGUACAAUAUGUGGAUAUUAGCUUCCUUUCAGCUUGUUGUUGGGAUCAUGAAGCUAGCCCUUCACAUCACAAUACUUGUGGCACUCUUUGCUGUUCAAUGAGGACGAAUACUACUACUGACAACCAUGUGGAGGCUUUGAAGUGAGGAACAAUAAGGUUUACUAAUUCCAUGUGGUUUUGUGAAGUAGUACGUACUUUCCAUGCCAUACCUAUUGGGAUACAACUUCUUGUUUAUGUUCAAGAAUAAUUACACAUUUUUCUGCUCUUUGCAAGAGUCAUUGAUGAACUGCCCAGAUUACUGAUGAGAAAAACCGGAGAUUCUUCAGUGCACCCAUUGAAGCCUCACCAACGGUUAGUUAACUGCGCGUGGAUGAACACGCUUAAUGGAU